AUGUAGCGGUGUGGAACCUGAUGCGCGAACAAUGUCCUUGAGCCUUAAGUGACUGCAACACCGCUUGGCGCCGGUUCUGUAGCAACACCUACAGCUGAGCAGCUACCAGCCGGGUAUAUGGCGACUGUUAUGUAACUUAAUUAACAAGCAGGAGUCCAGUCUCUAUAGGGAAGAUGUUCUGAACCCUUUGUGUCUGUAAUAGAAUGUAAAAUGUAAAUAGAAAGAUAAAAGACAAAGGCAUGGCCAAGCUGUAACUCGGUGGUUGGGCACAGGCUCAGCAUGUGCAAGGUCCUGAGUCUGAUCACUAGCCACUCCAGAGAGAAAAGAAUUCAAGCGCUCCAUAUCAACGUACAGACCGUGACAAAGCAGUGCCGAAGGUGACACGUUAAGGAGCAGAGCUGGUCACCUCCCAAAGGUUGCGCUGCGGCAUGACUUUGAACACCCCGAAUAAAAGGCAGAGAGUGUGGCCUUCUGAUUGCUGAGGGACAGUGGUUACUAGUCUGCAGUUCUCCAGUUAUUGGUCCGGUGGGGACAAAAGCAAAAUCACACAGGCCAGGAGGACUCAACACUUUCCAGGAGCCACCAAUGGAUGACGAAUGUCCAGAGUCCGAACUAAAAGUAAGUGAGGGAGGCAAAACCCUGGGGUGGACGGAAGGAGAUCCAACCCAGGCCAGGAGGAAAGGGAUUCAAAGCAUGCCGGGGAGAUGGGGAGAUGAGCUGGGCAGCGGGCGUGGAGAAGAGCCAGCCCAGAUUACAGCAGGACGCUCUGGAAGGGAGUCUCCAACUAGGAGCAACAGACAAACAAAAUAAUACAACUGCUCUCUGAUCUCAUGCCUUCGACUGUUUUAAAAAAGGAAUUCAACAAUCCAAUCAGUGACUCUCAUGUAGAACACUAAGCAACGGAAAAGCAGAACAACACAAAAACUUCUACCAGGAAGAAAUAAACGCCUGGAGGUGCGCUCA